GACGAACGCUGGCGGCGUGCCUAACACAUGCAAGUCGAGCGAAUGAAGUUCCUUCGGGAACGGAUUUAGCGGCGGACGGGUGAGUAACACGUGGGCAACCUGCCUCAUAGAGGGGAAUAGCCUUCCGAAAGGGAGAUUAAUACCGCAUAAGAUUGUAGUAUCGCAUGGUACAGCAAUUAAAGGAGCAAUCCGCUAUGAGAUGGGCCCGCGGCGCAUUAGCUAGUUGGUGAGGUAACGGCUCACCAAAGCGACGAUGCGUAGCCGACCUGAGAGGGUGAUCGGCCACAUUGGGACUGAGACACGGCCCAGACUCCUACGGGAGGCAGCAGUGGGGAAUAUUGGACAAUGGGCCACAAGCCUGAUCCAGCAAUUCUGUGUGCACGAUGAAGGUCUUCGGAUUGUAAAGUGCUUUCAGUAGGGAAGAAAAAAAUGACGGUACCUACAGAAGAAGCGACGGCUAAAUAUGUGCCAGCCGCCGCCGUAAGAC
rnacentral:rRNA from 1 species